GAAUUCCCGGAUUCUUGAAGAUUUGGAGAUGUUAAGGGUGGUAGGCCCUCAUGAGCUGUCUCCUAGCUCAGCUGCCUCUGCGGACGAGACCAACCCAAAACACUCACAAGUCACCGGCGUCCUCCUUCGUACUACAGCAUCGCAAAAUCGCAUGAACAUGCCUUUUCUAAGGUUUCUCUAAUAGCAGGUAAUUAAAUUGCUAAGGGUAAAGCACAGGAUAUGGUGGGGGUUAACUAGUCAUUUCCAGAACUUGGACUUGCGCUUACUGUUAAUUUCUGCAGCUCCAAGGAAGAAGGCAGCAGCAGCUUCUGCUUGAAGUUCUUUGAGGAUUUCAAGCCUUCUCUUUUUCCAUUUGUGUCAAAAAGAUGCAUGGACUCUCUUGCAAUCUCAGUUUUAUCACAGGUACUUCUGGCAUCCUCCUAUAAUUUAGUUUUGCCUGUGUGCUUCAUAUCUAGUUUUCGACAUUGGCCAUCGACGUCUCUAUAUCAAGCCAAAACAAUCCAGUCUAUACUGAUCCAUGAACUGCCUGCACUUGUCUCCAUGAAACUGAUUCUUACAUAAUAAAUUAGAGGAUCUAUAACUAAGUGUAUACUUUUUUUAGGUUGAACUAUGUGUUGCAGUUAUAGCUGAUAAAUGUGUGACUUAUGGCGAAAUGAAAUCUGAACAUAAUAUUGACUUAUAGAUUACAUACUUCUAGUAUGAAGAACUUUUAUAAUUUCCAGUGUCAAAGUAUGCUAAUCAUUAACUAUUUAGUGGCUCUUUCAUUACGCAUGGUGAUGUGAUUUUUUUUUCUUGCUUUAUUUUAUUGAUAAUUCUCAGCCAGUAACACUUGAACUUGGUCGAACACUAGUACAAAACUGUGAAAGUGAGUGCUUACCAAUAGUUGUUA